rnacentral:lncRNA from 7 species
AAUUGUGAAAUCUACAGCUGCUGCAGGAAGAAAAGGGGUCUCCUUGACUCUUAGUCUUUCACUUCUUCUCCAGGAAUCCUGCUUCAUGAAAUGGAGCCUAACACAUACAUGCAGUGCAGUAUUGUGCACUUCAGAAUAAUACCAUAAAGGCUCAUCACUUUAAUCAGUUAUUGAUUACACCGUGGGGACUUUCUACAGAUUCCACUCAAUGCUGCUUUUAAAAUGACAUCUGGUCUAAGAGAAGGGAGAUUAAGAAGCCAGAAAUUACUAUUCUUCACAGGCAGAGUCACCCAGGAAUCCGAUCUGUGUGACUGCAGCUACUUGCAGACGUUGAUCCACCAGGAUCCAGCACUGAGCUACAAUUUGCAGUUUUAGCACCACCACAACAACCCAGCAGUCAAAAAAUCUGUCCCAUUAGAACAGUGUACAAUCUGACAAUCUGCUAUGCUGCUUUACAAAAUCGUCAUGGGAGGAAAUAUCUUUAGGUUUGACUUAACCAACCAUCUGUCUACACAGAAAGUCAAAAUGUGUAAAUUUACAUACAGCAUUGUGCUGCCCAAUUGCAGCCAUUAAACAUUAUUCCUUUCCCCCACCCUUUACUUUAAAAAAGAGACUAUUUUCUAUCACUUCCGUGUUGGCAUAUGCAGUUUCUGUAAAGAAAAUAAGCCAAAGCAAUUGGGCAUGCAUCAGCAUGCAAGAAAGCAUGCUCUGGGGUGGAAUACACAACCCAGUGCACAGACUUGCUAUUUGCUGCUACCCUGAAGUGCAGAAUAUCCGCACAAUUAUAGGGCGUACUCAAUGGCAGCAGGAGGCAGCACUUGUAGUUUAGGCUGCUUCUAUGCUCUGCUUUCACAGAUUGUUUUGAACCAGAUGGACAUUAGCCUAAGUAGCAUUUACACAAGUUCAAAUAAAUUACACAUUCUUAGUCCUAACUUCCUGCUUCAGUAUAACGUUUUCAUCUGUCCUGAAGUAAGAACCAAAUGAAUCAUGCACUUCUAAGUGGAUGCAUCGGGCAUGCUAAAUAAGCAAUAGGUAUAAUAAUUUAUAGCAAAAGCAAUUAGAUCACAAGUAAUGUACUUAAACACUUAAAGCACCAAUUGUUUAAUUUCCAGCUACUUGAGACUAUGAGACCAUUACUCGAGAAUUCAAUAAUGUUCGGUUUAUAGAGAACCAAACUGCAAGAUUUUAGCUUUCCAUGGUUAAUUGAUCACAUUUUCUUUCACUCUUGCUUUUAGAUUUUGUUGUUAGUGAAGAAAAUCUGCUUAAUACUGAAAGCUGAAAAUACAGUGUGAAAUAAAUUGAACUUAAU